CUCGGCAUCCAGUGGCAUCCUCUGAGCCAGGGCCCGAGAAUGAGACAGAGCCAGGGGAAUUUGGCCCAGUAGGAGCAGGAGCGUCAAGGCCGAUGUGAAAAAAUGUGGCGAUUUACAGCUGGGGAAGGGACUGCUCUAGCCGAGACUCUCCCAGCCUCUUUAGGGCAAUUGGCACUGUCCCGCGUAGGGGCUUGGGCUUUCCGACUUGCCCGACUCCAGGUACCACCUCUGGCGUGUUUCUCCAUCCCAGCUGUGUCGUUUCUCCAGCAGGCACCGAGGUGGUUGGUGUCCAAGCAAGAAGACUGGGGCUGGCGACCGUGAGGCCUGAUCAUCCCGUUCCUCCUGCCGAGGCGGCCUGGGGCAGACGCUCACGGCAGGGUCACUCUGCUGACUGCAAGAGAAGAGAAAUUUGCAUACCUAAAGGAGGCUGAGGACAUCUUACACCAAAGAAGGACAAUGCGCUGAAGCUGCUUCCAAAGAAUGGCUCCUGGCGCAGGCUUACCUUUGGAUCAUGCAAGGCAGUUGUCUGGGAGAUGAAUUGUCAUGGUCCAAAACUGUGCUACUGUGCACUGCUGUGCUACUGGUCUUACAGAACAGCUGGGUACACAUCCCCUCCUCUGCACUUCUAGGAGAGAUGCAGCCAUAGUGAACACGGUUUUGAAGUGGAUGAACCUGGGCUGCAUCAUUUUGACUGUCAGCAGGACUCGUUAUUCCAGUGUUGGAGCUGGAUCACAUGGCUUUCUGUCAGUUCAGAACAAGCUCAACUGUGCUUGAAAAAUAACAUGCAAAUUCAUCAUAACCCAAAGCAUUAUAUAAUCAGAUCCUCAUGCUAUAGGAAACAGCAUGUUCCAGAAGUCCCUGGGAGUCUGUACAUAGGAAACAACACGUUCCAGAACUGCCUGUGAGUUUGUGCAGGGCUGGAACAAAAGUGCAAUUGUUUGUAAUCCACAGAAUUUUACCCAAUGUACAGUUAUGCAUCUGGGCAAACCGAAUCGAGAGGCUGCUGCUGAUCCAAAUCUCUCUGAUGUCCGCAUGAGUGUUUCUACAGACGAAGUCGUGAACUGUAUCCCAAGUUAUUGGUACUUCCUGCCACUAUCAUGGACAUGCCUGUGUGAUUGCAAUGUUUGAUCAGAUGCUGUACUGGGUUUGUGUGGCCAGACUUUGGUAGUGGGGGGCUACAGGGGUGGCUUCUGUGAGAAGCGGCCAGAAGCUCCCCCCAUGUCCAGUGGAGCCAAUGCCAGGCAGCUCCAGGACAGAUGUGCUGCUGAUUAAGGCUGGACCUAUUAGAAAUGGUGGUAAAGCCUCUGAGAUAACAUACUUAAGAAGAAAUUUUUUUAAAGUUACUGCACAGAUGUAAUUGCAGCCAGAGAAGGGCAGGGUGAGUACACGUGAGAGGGACAGCCCUGCAGAUCCCAGGUCAGUGCAGAAGGGCGGGCAGGAGGUGCUCCAGGCAUCGCAGCUGAGAUUCCCCUGCGGCCCCUGGUGCAGACUGUGGUGGAGCAGCUGUGACCCUGCAGCCCAUGGGCAUCCACAGGGGUGCAGAGAUCCACCUGGGGCCCUUGGAAGAGCCCACACUGGAGCAGGUGGAUGUCUGAGAGGAGGCUGUGACCCCAAGGGAGGCCCCUGGGGAGAGGAGCCGUGCUGGAGCAGCCUGUACUUGGAGGGCUGCACCCCAAGGAAGAGUGACCCAGACUGCAGCAGUUUGAGGGGGACUGGUGCUCACGAGAUGGAAUCACACUGGAGAAGUUCAUGGAGAACUGUCUCCCUUGGGAGAGACCCCAUGGUGCAGAAGGGGAAUAAGUCCUCUCCCUGAGCAGCAGAACUGACCAUGACCCCAGUUCCCCGGUCUCUCUGAGGCACUGUGGGAGGAAGCAGAGCUGGGAGGAAAGGAGGGCUGGUGGGAAGGUGGUUCGAAGGUUUAUUUUACUACUCAUUAUCCUGCUCUGAUUUUGUUAACAAUAAAAUCAAUUAGUAUCUCUAAUUUAAA